rnacentral:misc_RNA from 1 species
UUAAGUUCAGCGGGUAUCCCUACCUGAUCCGAGGUCAACCUGAAAAAUUGGGGUUACUGGCAAGCACACACCCGGGUCUCCGAAGCGAGAAGAAUUACUACGCUUGAAGCCGAAUGGCACCACCACUGAUUUUAAGGCCUGCCGAAACUCAGCAGGGCCCAAUACCAAGCAGAGCUUGAGGGUUGUAAUGACGCUCGAAC